AUUGAACGCUGGCGGCAUGCCUUACACAUGCAAGUCGAACGGUAACAGGUUAAGCUGUCGAGUGGAGAGCGGGCGAGUAAUGUAUCGGAACGUGAUCCGUCGGGGGCGAUAACUGCUCGAAAGAGCAGCUAAUACCGCAUACGACCAGACGGCGAACGCGGGGCGGCUCAAGACCUCGCGCGUUUGGAGCUUGCGAUAUCAGAUUAGGUAGUUGGUGAGGUAAAGGCUCACCAAGGCGACGAUCCGUAGCUGGUCUGAGAGGAUGACCAGCCACACUGGGACUGAGACACGGCCCAGACUCCUACGGGAGGCAGCAGUGGGGAAUUUUGGACAAUGGGCGCAAGCCUGAUCCAGCCAUGCCGCGUGCGGGAAGAAGGCCUUCGGGUUGUAAACCGCUUUUGUUAGGGAAGAAAAGCUUCUGGCUAAUACCUGGGUCUCCUGACGGUACCUGAAGAAUAAGCACCGGCUAACUUCGUG
rnacentral:rRNA from 1 species